UGGGGAAUCUUGGACAAUGGGGGCAACCCUGAUCCAGCGAUGCCGCGUGGGUGAUGAAGGCCUUCGGGUUGUAAAGCCCUUUCGGCGGGGACGAUAGUGACGGUACCCGCAGAAGAAGCCUCGGCUAACUCCGUGCCAGCAGCCGCGGUAAGACGGAGGAGGCUAGCGUUGUUCGGAAUUACUGGGCGUAAAGCGCGCGCAGGCGGCUUGGCAAGUCAGGGGUGAAAGCCCGGGGCUCAACCUCGGAACUGCCCUUGAGACUGUCAGGCUGGAGACCGAGAGAGGAGAGUGGAAUUCCCAGUGUAGAGGUGAAAUUCGUAGAUAUUGGGAAGAACACCAGUGGCGAAGGCGGCUCUCUGGCUCGGUACUGACGCUCAUGCGCGAAAGCGUGGGGAGCAAACAGG
rnacentral:rRNA from 1 species